GACUACCAGGGUAUCUAAUCCUGUUCGCUCCCCACGCUUUCGUGCAUCAGCGUCAGUUAUGGCUCAGUAAGCUGCCUUCGCAAUCGGUGUUCUGUGUAAUAUCUAAGCAUUUCACCGCUACAUUACACAUUCCGCCUACCUUAACCAUACUCAAGACUGACAGUAUCAAUGGCAAGUCUCCAGUUAAGCUGAAGGUUUUCACCACUGACUUAUUAGUCCGCCUACGCACCCUUUAAACCCAAUAAAUCCGGAUAACGCUUGCAUCCUCCGUAUUACCGCGGCUGCUGGCACGGAGUUAGCCGAUGCUUAUUCCCGGAGUACCUUCAGUCCCGUACACGUACGAGAUUUUAUUCCUCCGGAAAAGAAGUUUACAACGCAUAGCGCCUUCUUCCUGCACGCGGGAUGGCUGGUUCAGGCUUGCGCCCAUUGACCAAUAUUCCUCACUGCAGCCCCCCGUAGG
rnacentral:rRNA from 1 species